AGUGAACGCUGGCGGUAGGCCUAACACAUGCAAGUCGAACGGCAGCACAGUAAGAGCUUGCUCUUACGGGUGGCGAGUGGCGGACGGGUGAGGAAUACAUCGGAAUCUACUUUUUCGUGGGGGAUAACGAAGGGAAACUUACGCUAAUACCGCAUACGACCUACGGGGGAAAGGAGGGGAUCUUCGGACCUUGCGCGAUUGAAUGAGCCGAUGUCGGGUUAGCUAGUUGGCGGGGUAAAGGCCCACCAAGGCGACGAUCCGUAGCGCGUCUGGGAGGAUGAUCGGCCACACUGGAACUGAGACACGGUCCAGACUCCUACGGGAGGCAGCAGUGGGGAAUAUUGGACAAUGGGCGCAAGCCUGAUCCAGCCAUACCGCGUGGGUGAAGAAGGCCUUCGGGUUGUAAAGCCCUUUUGUUGGGAAAGAACAGCAGCCGGUUAAUACCCCGCUGUUCUGACGGUACCCAAAGAGUAAGCACCGGCUAACUUCGUG
rnacentral:rRNA from 1 species